GACGAACGCUGGCGGCGUGCUUAACACAUGCAAGUCGAACGGAAAGGCCCUGCUUUUGUGGGGUGCUCGAGUGGCGAACGGGUGAGUAACACGUGAGUAACCUGCCCUUGACUUUGGGAUAACUUCAGGAAACUGGGGCUAAUACCGGAUAGGAGCUCCUGCUGCAUGGUGGGGGUUGGAAAGUUUCGGCGGUUGGGGAUGGACUCGCGGCUUAUCAGCUUGUUGGUGGGGUAGUGGCUUACCAAGGCUUUGACGGGUAGCCGGCCUGAGAGGGUGACCGGCCACAUUGGGAUGGAGAUACGGCCCAGACUCCUACGGGAGGCAGCAGUGGGGAAUAUUGCACAAUGGGCGGAAGCAUGAUGCAGCAACGCCGCGUGCGGGAUGACGGCCUUCGGGUUGUAAACCGCUUUCGCCUGUGACGAAGCGUGAGUGACGGUAAUGGGUAAAGAAGCACCGGCUAACUACGUG
rnacentral:rRNA from 1 species